rnacentral:rRNA from 1 species
GAUGAACGCUAGCGGGAGGCCUAACACAUGCAAGCCGAGCGGUAGAGAUUCUUCGGAAUCUUGAGAGCGGCGUACGGGUGCGGAACACGUGUGCAACCAACCUUUAUCUGGAGGAUAGCCUUUCGAAAGGAAGAUUAAUACUCCAUAAUAUAUUGAUUGGCAUCAAUUGAUAUUGAAAGCUCCGGCGGAUAGAGAUGGGCACGCGCAAGAUUAGUUAGUUGGUGAGGUAACGGCUCACCAAGACGAUGAUCUUUAGGGGCCUGAGAGGGUGAUCCCCCACACUGGUACUGAGACACGGACCAGACUCCUACGGGAGGCAGCAGUGAGGAAUAUUAGGUCAAUGGGUGCAAGCCUGAACCAGCCAUCCCGCGUGAAGGACGACUGCCCUAUGGGUUGUAAACUUCUUUUGUAUAGGG